rnacentral:lncRNA from 1 species
UGCCCUGGGAACCCAUCAGGACCCCGUGUGUCACCGUCACCACACCCCCUCUGGGCUCCCUGGACGGUGUUGAGAGGAGUGGUGAGGUUUCAUGGGCUGCCCCUCAGCUGGGACUGUCAGUUCUCCUUGUUCUGUGACGGGGUGGGGCCAGGAGGACGCUCCAGGAGGGCCUGUCCUCCGCCCCCUCCAGGUCUGUGCCCUCAACAGGCCCUGGCUGCUGCCCUGGCCUUGGUCUCCUGCCGAGUUGGGGCGUCUCCCCUUCCCCGCUGGAGGGCAAGUGUCCACCUGCUGUGGUUUUUGAGGGGUUUGUGGGGCCUGUGGGCUGUGCAGGAAGCCUGGGCCUCUGAGGAAGACAGACAAUGGAAACAGGGAGGGGACAGGCCACCACUGGCAGCUGGGCAGGAAACAGGCACAGAGAGAAGACAGGAAGUCCCCAGGAGAAAGGAGUGAACGGGGGACGAGGGCCGGCCACUCUGGGAGCCAGGCCAGGUGCAGGAGGGACCUAACUGGGCAUUGAGAUGUGUGGCCGGACAUGUCCCCUGGUUGGCCCGGGCACUGCAAUGGGCACUGGGACUCAGGUCUGCGACAUCAGCAGGUAAGCUGGGUGCACACAGUGGCAGGCCCCGGCACAGGGCCGGGGGCGGACACCAAGGGAGCUGCUGUGGAAGGUGGUCAGGGCUGGAGGGAAGAGCCGAGGGUGUGGGGCUGCCAGGCCAGGCCAGCAGAGCAGGGUGGGAGGACGCGAGCCCCUGCCAGCUUGCCUUCGAGGCCCUGCAAAAUUCAUUAAAGGGAGUGUCCCAUAGGGGCAGGGAAUGUGAGCCGGGCUGAAAGUGAUCUGUGGCCAUCUGCUUGCUGUGCGUCCCCAGGGUCAUCCACAGGGGCUUUGGUGGGGACACCGAGGCUGCAGCCCCAGAUGCACAAGGAGACCCACCUGGCCUCAGCCAUGGCUGCCCGCUGUGUGCUGACUGGGCUCUGGUCAGGCCCACUCUGUCCUUGGCUGCAGACCUUGACUUUUAUAACUGACAGGUAUGAGGCCCCCAGUAGAACAAGGAGCCACAUGGAAAGUCGGCCACUGCAGGGGUGCCGGGAGGCCUGCUCGCAUCCUGGUGACUGCCUGGGGACCCUGGCCAUGCCACGGACCGUGGCAGCUGUUCAACGGGCGGAGAUCCUGGCAUGGGUGGGUGGAGAGCUGCCCAGCUCCCUCCAGCCCAAGACACCACCGAAAAAUGACUCAGCCACAUGUCCGUGGUCCUCAGGGUGGCCCCACUGUCCCCUGAAAUCGUGCCCCUGGGUUGGGCCCCACUUCAGUGAAUUCUGGGGGAGCCUGGUCUGUGUCCCACAGGAAGCCCAGCAGGUCCCGUGGAGUCCAGGGCAGGAUGAGCAGACACCCCAGGUUUCAUCACCGGCGACACAGGAAACCAGAGACAGUGGCUCUCAGUGGUGACGCCACCAUCAUCAAUAGUUUACAGCAGGUAAUGGACACUCGACCUGGGUCUCAGGCUCAGGUGGCCACAGUACAGCUGCCAACCUGGGGCUGUGUCAGAACAGGAGGGCAGCUGACUCCUGCCCACAGGCCCCAAAGACCCAGAAGCCAGCAGUGCACUUUCUGAUGGGCCUGGUCUCAGCUGAAGGAGGCCCCAAGGCCCUUCCUGCACUGGCCAGGGCUGACAGGGCAGAGGUUGGGAGGACGGUAGGGAAGGGGGCAGAGCCAGCCACUGCUACACCUGCUGCACUCCGACCCAGAGACAGGGAGAGACACUCAGCCCCUUUGAGCACAGGGAGGGGCCAGGUGCAGGGGCCACGCCUCCUACCUCAGCGACCCAGGGGGCUGCGGCAGGGCAUGCAAGGUCCAGGCCGGUCUGGGCCAUGCAGCCAGAAGGCAUCCCAAGCUAAAUCUGGCUGGGAUGCAGUCCAGGGGAAGAGCACCUGGGUUUAACCCCAGCACCGUUAGCCCCAGGGAGACACUCACGUGCCCUGGGGUGACUAUGACCAAAAGAUGUCACGAGGGAGAGCUGCCAGCACUGUGCAGAGGUCAGCAGCCUCAGGACCACCACUGCUGGUGACCAGCCUGGCAGCGCCACCAAGGUGAAAUGCAGUCACCACCAGGGCCAGCAACCCCUCCUAGUGGAUGCCUGAGUCCAGAACAGACAGCUGACACACAAAGGGUGCACACGGAAACAGCCAAGGUCCACCAACAGGAGGUGGACACACAGCCUGGCCACGCACACCUGGAGCGUCCUGGCCAGGGCAGGAGCGAGGCGACACACUGCAGCAUGGGUGGACCUGAGGACCACGUGCUCAGUGACAGCCAGGCACACAAGGCCCAGUGACAGAGGAGUCCAGGGCAGGAGGCUCCAGAAAUCGACGUGCACCCGCGGGUGCGACGGGGCUUGCUUUUUCCCUGAAGCUUUCAUGAAUGUGUCUCUCUAGAGAUCAUGAAUAUCACAUGUCAUUGUCACAACUCCAUAGCCCGAUGGAAGGGAGCUGAACACGCCUGUCAACAGACACUCAAUGUCCUCUUUCAGAGUAUUUCCUAUGGAAAGUAAGUUCAUCUGCAGAGGUGUGUGUGAGUGUGUGUGUGUGUGAGUGAGUGUGUGUGCCUCUGUGUGUGUCUCUCUGUGUGUCAGAGUGUGUGUCUCUGUGUGUGUCUGUGUGUGUGCAUCUGUGUGUGUGUGUGUCUCUGUGUGUGUCUGUGUGUGUGCAUCUGUGUGUGUGUGACUGUGUCUGUGUGUCUGUGUGUGUGUCUCUGUGUGUGUGUCUGUGUGUGUCUCUGUAUGUGUGUCUCUGUGUGUGAGAGUGUGUCUGUGUGUGUGUGUCUGUGUGUGUGUGAGUGUGUGAGAGAGUGUGUGUGCCUCUGUGUGUCUCUGUGUGUGUGUCUGUGUGUGUAUCUGUGUGUAUGUGUCUGUGUGUGUGUCUCUGUGUGUGUGUCUCUGUGUGUGUGUCUCUGUGUGAGUGAGUGUGUGUGCCUCUGUGUGUGUCUGUGUGUGUGUGUCUCUGUGUGUGUCUCUGUGUGUGUCAGAGUGUGUGUCUGUGUGUGUCUGUGUCUGUCUCUGUGUGUGUGAGUGUGUGAGAGAGUGUGUCUCUGUGUCUGUAUCUGUGUGUGAGUGUGUGUGUGAGUGUGAGUGUGUGUGGGUGUGAGUGACAGGGCUUCACUUUACUAUGCCCCUUGAGGCUUUGGAACUUACAAGGCUUCUCUUUUUCCCUAAUCUUCUCCCUGAACUUCUCCUCCCUGAUCUCAUUUUCUCUGAAUGUCUCCGUGAUAAACCUCGGUCUGCCCAGGGGCAGAACCGCAGCCUGGGGAACCGGACCUGUCUUGAUAUUGAACUGGCGUAGAGGACGAGGACCAAGCUCUGGUUACGUGUGUGGUGUGUGCAUUUGGUGGCCCAUUGCAGUUUCCUGUGGCUGGUGACAGCAGUGCUGGAGAGCCAGCCUCGCCCUGCGCCUCGCGCCCCGGCUCUUCCUGCCCGUCUGCUGCUGGGAUCCGCAGGGCCUUGAUACAUUUAAAACCAAAUUCCAAGUCUCCCAGCUGCUAGAAAACAUUUAAAAUUAGAAUGGGCUACAAAGGAGAAGACAACCACCCCAGUGACGGAGGCAACAAGUGUCAAUAUUGCAGGUGUUGAUACAUUGUACAGGUUUUAAAAUUUUUAUUUUGUAGCUUUAGAUUAUUCUUUUUCGCCCAAAUAACGCUUGUUCCCUAUUUUUACUUUCCCUUUUUGUCCUGAGAAUUGAAUCAGAAUGCUCUACCACUGAGCUGUACCCCCAACCCUGUUUGAGACAGGGUCUCUUAAGUUGCUGAGGGUGGCCUUGAACUUGCAACCUCCUGCCUCAGCCUCCCCCCAUGGAUCGAACGACAGGCGUGGCCACCAUGCCUGGCCUACUUAUUUCACUUUUUUUAAAAAUAUAUUUAUUUUUUUAGGUGUAGAUGGACACAACACCGGGCCUUUAAUUUUAUGUGGUGCUGAGGAUGGAACCUGGGUCCCCUCCCGCCCGUGCUAGACAGGGCUCUACCCCUGAGCCACAAUCCCAGCCCCUUAUUUCACUUUUUAAAAUGAAAGUCAAGCCACCCUGAGCUCUUUCCUCCCACACCCCAAGCUUCUCUGUGGAGCCAACAGGGUCUGAAUUCGUGGACGUCACCCUGGAGGACAGUCACCCUGGAGGACAGCCGUGGGAUCACCCCCUGUGGCAGGCCCCGCCAACUUCCCUCAGCACCACCCCUCCCGGUUUUCCACACAACUUCCUCUUUUUCUCAAGAUAAAAUAGGUCCCAACAAUGAAAACAAACACUCGGAGACGUUCACAUUCAUCUCCAAAGCGGGCCUCUGGAACGCCCUUGGUCACUUCCAGAUAUUGUGGGGGAUUCCGGUCAGGCACCCCGGCAGCCAGGACCCGCUCACUUGUUUCAAUCUAGUACUUUUCCAGCCAUCUGCAAAGUCUCCCUGCAACAGUCCUGUCCCUGGGGGUCCCUGCUCCCCCUGGCCCCGAGAAGUCAAAGCCAACAGGGUCUUGCCCACAGCCUCGAUUCAGAGGAGAGGCUGACCCCAAGAACCCAGAGUUCCCCAGGCUCUCUGAAGCAUGUCCUUGAUAGUUCACCUCCCAACUGAGGAAUGAGUGAUAAGGCAGAGGGCGGGGAGGGGCCUGCAGCCCUCCAGUGGGGCUCCUGGCUCUGGUCCCUCCUGGGUUCCCUGGUCCCUGCAUCCCAGGCGGCUGGAAGGGUCUGUGGUCCUGGGCGGAGCAGGGAGGCCAGCAUUCCUCAGAUUGUUUAUUUGUUUGUUUAAUCUGGGCUGGGCCAGGAACACCUCCUCCCGUCUGCAUUGGGUGGUAUUUGGAUUCUUGCUGCAGCCCAGAGCCCCUGUCCUGGGUUUCCCUGCUGGGCCCCGGGUGGUGCCCUACUCCAGAUGCACACUGGUGGCUACUGAGCUUUCUCCCCCGCCCCCCCUGCCCCCGUGCUGGGCUGGACCUAGGGCCUCACGAAUGCUGGACAGCGCUGACCACUGAGUGCUACCGCCCUGUUUGCUUUUGUCCCACGCAUUCAGUCCCUAAGUCCCUAGGCCUCCCAGCCUUGCCCUGUGGCCCCUAUGACCCUCUGCAGACCCUCCCCAGCUCAAAGUCACCUACCAUGUGGGACAACCACUGUCCAGCCAGCACACGGCUCCUGUCCCUCCCAACUUGGUGGCCGAGGAUGACCGAGAUGGGAAGAUGAGAUUCCUGCUGCCGGCAGCCAGGUGGGAUCUCUGUGGACCCCGAGGUCUGGAUGUCAGGAGGGCCAGGGAGGCAGAACCCCGGGCAGUGGGCACUGAGACUAAUGUCCCUCACUUGAUGAAGCACUCACAGGGGUCAGCCAUCCGUCCCCAGAGCCUGUGUUUGGGCCCAGCACUGCCCUGGAGGGUCCCAGCAGGUGGCCUGCGUGGGAACCACCCCCAAAGGCUGAGCUUGUGGAAUCCUGGGAUGGUAGCAGCAGGUAGGUGUGCCUUCCUGGGUGACGCACACCCAGACACCGUGCCUCUGGUGGAGUCAUGCACAUCGAGGCCUGGGCGGCCCCGGAGGGAGGCUGAGGUGCCCGCUGUGGCCUCGGAGGAGGGGUUGGGGAGUGGAUCCCCUUCCUGCAGACUUGGACCCUCGGGGAAGGAAAAGCAGGGUGGCGCGUAGGGUGGUGGACCGUCCCCCAGCAUGCCCCUGCUCUGAGGUCUCCCCAGCACUGCAGAAAAAGAGAAGAAAAGCAGGUGGUUGUCCUCAGGGAACUGGGGACUGAGGAUCACCUCCACCCUCCCCUGGUCUGAGCACUUCCAGGGCCAGCAUCCUGUCCCCAGAACAUGGCCCCGGCUCAGCACCCCUGGGCGACACUCAGCCCCUGACCCGCCCGGGAUGGCCAGCACAGACCUGAGCCCACACCCUGCUGCCUAGUCAGUGGUCAAGUGGACACAGACUGGAACCUCAGAAUCUGAGCCAAAGAAACCCUUCUUCCUCUACGUUGAUUUUCUUUCUUUCUUUUUUUCUUUCUUUCCUUCCUUCUUUCUAGAAAUAGAAUUUUAUUGUAUCUUUUAAGUAACUGUGGUACAGGGUGGUGGCUCAGCGGUAGAGCACUCGCCUAGCUCGUGCGAGGCCCUGGGUUCGAUCCUCAGCACCACAUAGAAAUAAAUAAAAUAAAGGUGUUGUGUCCAACUCAAACUGAAAAAUUAAUAUAAAAAAAGUAACUGUGGUACAGGGUUGUGCUCAGAGGUGGAGCACUCGCCUAGCAUGCUAAGGGUUCGACCCUUAGCACCACAUACAAAAUAAAACAAAAUAGAGAUAUUGUGUCCACCUAUAACUAAAAAAUAAAUAUUAAAAAAGUAACUGUUGCACAAAGAAACUACAAAUUAUGAACUCCAGAAUGCUUCCAAAUAAUUUAUUUUCACAUGAAUUUUUUUUUAAAUCUACUACACGGGUAAGUAUUAUUGUCUUUUUUUUUUUUAAGAGCGAGCGAGAGAG